GACGAACGCUGGCGGCGUGCUUAACACAUGCAAGUCGUACGGUAAGGCCCUUUCGGGGGUACACGAGUGGCGAACGGGUGAGUAACACGUGAGUAACCUGCCCACAACUUUGGGAUAACGCUAGGAAACUGGUGCUAAUACUGGAUAUGUGCUCCUGCUGCAUGGUGGGGGUUGGAAAGCUCCGGCGGUUGUGGAUGGACUCGCGGCCUAUCAGCUUGUUGGUGGGGUAGUGGCCUACCAAGGCGGCGACGGGUAGCCGGCCUGAGGGGGUGACCGGCCACAUUGGGACUGAGAUACGGCCCAGACGCCUACGGGAGGCAGCAGUGGGGAAUAUUGCACAAUGGGCGCAAGCCUGAUGCAGCAACGCCGCGUGCGGGAUGACGGCCUUCGGGUUGUAAACCGCUUUCAGCAGGGACGAAGCUUUUUGUGACGGUACCUGCAGAAGAAGCACCGGCUAACUACGUG
rnacentral:rRNA from 1 species